GCUACACAGAGAACCCCUGCCUCAAAAAAUAAAAACAACAACAACAACAACAACAAAACCACCCAAACUGGCAUUUCAUUAAAGGGGGUGACAACACAGGACAGGUGUACUCACACUCGUCGGGUGCUGACCGGCAGCUUCGUACUGCAUCCUCACUCUCUGCGGCAUCAUGACAUCGUCCUGUAUGAAGAACACAUCUUAGCUGCAUGGGAAGUGGCUGCAGCCCAGUUAGAACAGGCACAGAGUCUAAGAACACAACAGCAAACAAGUUUUGGGACACCAGAAGACUCAACAUCACUUGAGGACUAUGACUCUUUGGGGAAGAGACCGCAUAUGUUCAGUUAUAAGCAGCAUGGUUACAUGGUGUGUCACAACUGUACCUAACUCUGGCUGGACCCAAGCAAGUGCUGCUGAAGGAGAUGUGUAUGCAUGCCAGGUUGGCAAAGGAUGAACAUGUGAUGAUUAAUUUUAUGACUUGACUGUUCUAAAGGCCGCCCAGAAAAAUGGCCUGAUGCUUCUAUCUGUGAAGGUGGAUCUGGGAGAGAUUAGCAUUUUAUCAGUGGACUGAGAACACAGCCGCCUCAGCCUCCGAUGCCUCCCCCUCCUCCUCCUCCACCAUAACCACCACCCUUACCACCCUCCACCUCCAGCCUUACUGUUCAACCUCUCUGGGCUCUGACUAAUAAUACACAUAGAAUUAAACAAGACUCCAAUUUUACAGUUCAGGAAUCUAUGCAAAAAAGCCAAAAUGCUCCAUAUUGGUCUCAAGAGCCUAAGGAAUAUUCAAGUGUGACUUCUACCACUUCUGCUAUUGAGAGUCAGCAACUACAAUAAGUGCAAAGAGAGAACAAAAAGAAUUAAUACACUUAUUGACCAGACUAAGGAAGAUGUGGUAACAGACAUUCACUCCAAAGAGUGAACAGAGAAGCAAGUAGUAACCCUUAUAGAGCAUGAAAACUAAUAAUAUAAACAAGCUCUUUGUUUUUGGAGGCCACCAGAAAGAGAAGAAAUCGGCUAAGACUGGAGAAUGAAAAAGUCUUUCUUUGUAAAUGAGAGUAAGGGAGAACUUGGCUAACAAGCCAGGAAGUGUCACUGUGCCUCCGAGAAGGUAAUCCCUUUCUCUCUCAUGGUCUCACUGACCCUCUGUGGGCAGGCUCACUGUGAGGUUAGCCAGAGCCAGCUGACAUUUGCGAUGUAAAAUAGAGGAGCUAACAGACUAAAUGCAAGAUGCUGUCUGCAUCAACCAUGAAAGCCGAGUACGCUCGUCUCAGGGCUCGUGCCAAGGAAUAUUACCUGGAGCUUUCUUUUCACAGGGAGAAGUAGAUUUGAAACAUUAUCACUGGCAUUUCUGGAAUGCAUGAAAUCACCACAGGGGCUGAAACUCCACGAUUAUGAACAGGGACUCAUCACUGUGGAAUGAUGGGGCGGCCUGAGAAAAGGAGCCGGAAGCACCACAGAAAGAGCAUCGAGGGCCUGGAGAGAGAUGGGUCAGAGGGGCCUGGAGAGAGAGUCAGGGGCUUCCUGCCUUUCUAAAAACUGGAGUUCAGUUCCCAACAUCAACACAUCAAACAGAUCACAGCCACCUGCUACUCCGGCUCCUUAGGACCCAACAUCCUCUUCUGGCUUGCUUGGGCAACACAAAAGUGAAAACGCGUCUUUCCAAAGAACCAGCUAAACUCCACUGCGCCUUACUCCUGAUUGCCAUGAAUUCUCAUUCACUUCCCAUGGACAAUGAGGUGAUGUCAUCUCCCGGCACUCCACCUGGGGUCCUUAGUUUUAUAUACUGUCCUUGUCACAGACAGAAUGCAUUCAGUCAUGAUAUGACUCAGUGACAAGCAAUUCAGGUUUUAUAAAAGAUGAAAUCUGUCUUUAAAGUGGAGACAAUAAAUAUCGGUUAGCAAAACGCCUUUUUUAUUCGAUGACAGAAGCUGCAAAAUCCCUCUUAACUAAAAAUAUCAAAGAACAUUUAGUUUCAAAUUCACAUUUCAGAAUUGAAACAUACACUGUUUAGGAACCCAUGUAGUUUUGUAUUUCAACGUAAAGACAAUGGAACUGGGAAAUCGUUUCCAGAAGAUAUUAACAUUUUCCAGAUGCACAAGAUGGGAGAAGGUUGCUAUUCCUGGGUCUCACUCCUCAGACGCUGCUGUCUGUCUUCUUUUCUGAGACGGGUCUCUCAUGAGCCUGGUUCUCCCUAAGCAGGCCUGGCUAGCCAUCCCAAGGGCUUGGCCUUUCUCCAAAUAUGCUACCACACCCAGCCCUUUGGACACAUAUUCUGGGAAUUAAACUUGGGUCUUCACGCUUGGUAGGCAAACACUUAACUGACAGAGCCAUGUCUUUAGCCAUGUUUUAUUAAGUUGUGUUUUGACUACUCUUCUGCUUCCUCAGACAGCGCUCCCGAGGCAACGUUUCUUAGGGUUGAUCUUGACAGACCAGGUUCAGCUGAGUCUUAGCAGCCCAACAGUGCUGACUUCAGCUUCCAACAUCUACCCUGUACUUCACCCAGAACAACAAACACAAGAUAAACGAAACAUUAGCAGGAGACCACAGACGGCUGUGUAACAUCAGCACAGCAGGCUUUCAGAUUGGGAGUGGGUGAGGCAUAAGCUACUUUGAGAAAGCAGACAAGGGCUGGAGAGAUGGCUCAGCAGUUAAGAGCACCGAGUGCUCUUCCAGAGGUCCUGAGUUCAAUUCCAGCAACCACAUGGAACAACCAUCUGUAAUAUCUGAAGAGAGUAUCAGUGUACUCAUAUACAUAAAAUAAAUGAAUUUCUAGAGAGAGAGAGAGAAACUAUGUCCAAGGUCCUUAAGACACUGAGACCCAGUAUUCUAUGUUACCUAGAUUGGUGUCUGGAUAUUGGGGGAUGAUGACAGACAAGACUGAAAGGAAGGCAGGCAGGAAGGAAGGAUCACAAGCAACAAGGGGGUGGCAGGAUGGAUGAAUCACGAAGUGAGGAGAAAGGGGGCGGAGCAGGAUCACUAAGGGACCUGAGGAGCACAGGUCCUCUACCAUCCAUGCUCCUUAAAACAGCCAUCCAGAUGCAACAUUAGCAGCAAAGAUGAACAGCAGGAAGGGAGGGUGGCUGUGUAGCAGCAGGUCUGGUAACACCAAGGCUUGCCUCUUCCUCCUCUUCCUCUUCCUCCCCUUCCUCUUCCUGAGAGCCAUCAAGUCACGCCAGAUACACUCACCUCCUUCCUCCACCUCUCACCCACACAACUCUACCCAAGAUCUCACAGGAAGCUGUUAAGAGCCCAGGCUCAGGGAGUUAGCAGCAGCAGCAGCUGUCACAACGAGUCCUCGAGAGGGAACCCUUACCUGCUGCCUGCUGCCCUUGAAAUACACUGGAACUACACAGACUGCCCGGUCUGGACACUGUUAAAAAUGGGAACAGGGUCUCUGUGCUGGCUUGACACUCAACUUAAGCUAGAUCUGAGGAAUGGGAACCUCAACUGAGAAAAUGCCUCUAUCAGGUUGGCCUGUGGGGCAUUUUCUUGGCAGAUGACUGAUAGAGCCCAGCCCACUGGAGGUGGCACCAAGCCUUGUCAGGUGGUUGUGGGGUGUAAGGAAGUUGGUAUUGGGGUAUAUAAGAAGGCAAACCAAAUGAGCCAGGACUUACAAACAGAUAAGCAGUGGUUCUCAACGGUCUCUGCUUCUAUGUCUGCCUCUAGGAGACUCCUGCUUUGAGUUCCUGCCCUGACUCCCUUAUUGAGGGACUAGAUACUGUAAGGUGAAACAAACCCUAUCCUACCCAGGACGCUUUUGUUAAUGGUGUUUAUCACUGCAGUGGAAACCUGACUAAGGCAGUAUGCUACUCCUAAAACGUCAGGGCAGUGGCUUUCAACCCUAAAUUCACCUCAGAACCCCUGGGAUGCUUCCACCACUUCCAGUGCUGAAACAGAGUUGCAGACAGACAGACUCUGUCCUAGGCAGGGCUUAGGCGCCUGGGGUUUUAAAGUAUCACAGAUGGCUUCAAACACAGCCAAUCCUGGAAGCAAGUAAUCAACUUACCAGCUCUACCCAGCUGGCUGAGAUGGCUUAGUAAGUGUGAGCACCUCUGCCACCAAUGUGAGGCUCUGAGUGUGAUUCCAGAACCCACCCGGCAGAAAGAGAAUCGACCCCUCAGGUUAUCGUCUGACCUACACACGUGUGACCUCACACUCAUACCCACGCACACUGGAAAUUAAACAAGUAUUAAAAAAUUAAAUUUCUUUUUAUUAAAAAGAAGUCCUAGCCAGAGAGGACCCAUCUGUCACUAAGAAUGACCAGACCACCCCCUGUUCUAAUCUUUUUUUUUUUUUUUUCAAGACAGGAUUUCUCUGUAGCCCUGGCUGUCCUGGAACUCACUCUGUAGACCAGGCUGGCCUCAAACUCAGAAAUUCACCUGCCUCUGCCUCCCGAGUGCUGGGAUUAAAGGUGUGCGCCACCACGCCCGGCUCCCCUGUUCUAAUCUUAAGUACUGUAUGAGGAGCAUUCUUUUCAAGUCUAGACCUUAAAGUCCCUGACUUAUUACAGUGAGAAGAAAGACUAUGAGGCAAAUCAUUUAAUCAUUUAAAGGGAAAGAGAAACAAAAACCUUGACUCAACAUCAAAAAUUUCAAAACGGAAGUAUUAACUAUCUUUUAAGAUAUCUUUCAAAGAAAAUACCUUUAAAAUAGCAAGAAUCAUAAUGAUACACUAGAAGGUAAUGAGGUGGCCCUGUACAAUUAUGAGAAAAAUGUUUUGCCUCUAGAAUUCUUUGUACAAACUAAGUAGGACUUUAAGGGCACUGCAGACAAGUAGACAUCUUAAAUACUUUACCAUCUAUAUCCCAGACACAAAGAUCAUUUUUAAGUAGUAGCUCCAGAAAACUGAAGAGAUAAAGAAAGAAAAAAAAAACAUUUUCAAUGGGAAAUAAAGAGAAAACAUGAUGUGACUAGAAACCAGAAUGUUACCAUGGAGAUGAGAUGGUUCAAGCGUCUAUGAGGUUGUAACACUCACGAAGUCCAGCUCCGGGAUACUGCUGUUCCCCUGCAUCAGCACCUAAUACGCUAUGCUUUGGGUCUCAUGCUUACAUUUCUUCUAUGGUCUACCUGCUGGAAUCCACUUACUCACAAAGCAAGUAGCAAAAGAACUAGAAGAACAGACCCUCAACAGCUUCAACAAUGUAACUACAUUAUAGAAACAAAAACUCCAGAAGAAAGAACAGGCUUUCAGACAUUUAUUUGUAAAAAGUUUUUUUGUUUCUUGUUUUGUUGUUGUUGUUGUUUGGGCCUUCAUCACUGGGAGGGGCAGCAGUAUGGUCAGACACGUGAAGGUGUAGCAAGGCUCUCUCACCUUCCAGACUCUAACUAGCUACCAAGUGGUCACUUGCUUCUUUCUACCAAGUCAGGGGCAUUUAGGACUCUGCCAUCAUGAAUGUCACGUCACAUCAUUGUAACUGCACGCUUUUUCUACCCAUCUUCUUGUACCCAGAAAUAAUGACUCUAAGAUUUAAUAUUUACUAAUAAAUGCUUAGGCGAAUAGUCUUGCCUCUGUUCCCCAAUGAUCUCAUGUAUCAAUAACCCAUUUGUUCUAUUCUAAGUGUCCCACAUGGUUGGUCACCUCUCCUCAGGUUUAUGUGACUGUCUCCUCCAGAGUUUAAGGCAAAUCCCUGACUCCUUCCCAGAAUUCCUCUCUCUUCCCCUGUGAGAUGUCUAGUCCUGCCUCAGCUCACUGGCCAUAGGCUUUUUUAUUGAUAGGUGAUGCUUCCAUACAGCAUAUAAAAGAUUCUCUCUAUACAUUAUCCUUCUAGACUUCUCACCUCAUGCCAAGCAAAAAUACAAAAGUAAAUAAAAGUAAAAUAUCUAAUCAGGAUUAAACCAUCUACAUAGAAAGUCCAAAAUAAUGUGUGAAAAUCUAACUAAAGGUAGAGGAGGAAAUAAACAAUAAAGCUGGUUAAUCCCACCCCAGGAUCCUGAACUGGGUAAACUGGGUAACUAGAUGGCAGCAGAGAACCUGCUGUCAGAGAGCCUGACAACACUUCCUGGGAACUAACUUCCCGUCUAUAUAAAACAGGAGGGGCCAUUCCUUCUCAUUUCCAUGAGUGUCUGAAAAAGGGAAAUGAACUGCAUGGAAGGAGAAGGAAGAAGGAAAUGGGGGAAAGGAGGAGAGAGAGGUGAGAAGGAAGGGAGGGGAAGAUGGAGAGGGAAGUGCUUCAAGAUGAAUGUGUGGACACCACCCUCAGGGGAAGAACUGGAGUCAACAAAGGAAAAGGGAAAUCCCAGAGCCAUCUGCCAACAUUCACACUGCCAGAAAAAGACGUAAAAUCUGAAAGGAUCCACUGCCAGGAGACAAUCACUACAAGAAAUGUUUCUAGAAGUCCUUCUGGCAGAAGGACAAUAGAAAGAUGGAAAUCUCUACCUACAGAAAGCAAAGGGUGACCCUGGAAAAAGAUGCACGAGGAGAAAUGUCUUCUCUUUCUUCAUGUUCCUUUCAUAAAUCCGUAAACUAAAUUAGACAGCACCCUGAGGAUUCAUAACCACGCAAGGUAAAGUGUGGCAGUGUUGGGUAGCAGUAGCAGCAGUGCCCAGCAUGCUCUAGGUCCUGACUCUGGUGUCUGCACUCAAAGGGAGGUGGCCAGUAAGUUAAAGGCACACACUCUAAGUCCUAGGCUGACCACUAAAACAGCAGAGCAAGGAGUCAGAGUCACAAAGGAGACAAGGGGUGCUCUACGACCUAAAGUUGUGCUUCACAUGACAGCAUGAAGUGUUCUGCUCCUUAGAAAAGCUGCUGAGAAGUACUUACAAAACACCAUUUAUGGUCUCUAGAAACGACUAGUCCAAAGUAUACAGCGAACAAAGAUACAAUUAUCCAAGAAAAUCUCCCCAGACUCAGUGAGUACAGUGGAUGUCUACAGUGUAGACCAGACUUGGCUCCCCCCUUUCCCUCCCAGCUCUGCAAAGCAGAAGCCACAGGCAGCAGUGAAGUGAGGUUGCUUCUCCUUCCCAGAUACAGAAGAUUACCACCCUGACCUCUUACCAAGCUGACAUACCAACACAUCACUAUUAUGCCAUAAUCCUUGCUUUCUUCCCCAAGAUCACAUGUUAAUAUCAACAAUACAGUAUAAACAUGCCAAAUUCUUAAAAUCCUAGUCUUUAAAAUACCCAGUCUCUUUUAAAACUCAGUCCCUUACUACAAGAGGGGGAAACCAGGGCAAGGUCAAAAUCUGAAUAAAGCCAAACUAAACUCACGUCCUCACCUCAGCUCAUAGGGCCGGCAUCCCAUGGGGAGACACCAGGAUCACUGUC